AUGACCAACGGCAACCUGCGGGAGUGCCUGGACGACCUCAACAGGAAGCCCAUGGACUGGGCGACGCGCGUCGGCGUGGCGCUGGGCGCGGCGAGGGGCCUCGAGUACCUCCACGAGGCGGCGGCGCCGCGCAUCCUCCACCGGGACAUCAAGUCCACCAACAUCCUGCUCGACGACCGGUUCAGGGCCAGGAUCACGGACCUGGGCAUGGCCAAGUGCCUGAUGAACGACGGCGUGGCGAGCUGCUCCAGCUCGCCGGCGCGCAUGCUGGGCACCUUCGGGUACUUCGCCCCCGAGUACGCCAUCGUCGGCAAGGCGUCGCUCAAGUCGGACGUGUUCAGCUUCGGCGUGGUGGUGCUGGAGCUCAUCACGGGCCGGCAGCCGGUGCACAAGAGGGGCGGCGCCGGCGCCAGCGGCGCGGGCACGGACGAGAGCUUGGUGAUGUGGGCGACGUCGCGGCUGCGGGACAGCAGGCUGGUGGUCGCGGAGCUGCCGGACCCGGCGCUGAAGGGCGCGUUCCGGCCCGAGGAGAUGCAGAUCAUGGCCCACCUGGCCAGGGAGUGCCUGCAGUGGGACCCCGAGGCCAGGCCCACCAUGACCGAAGUCGUCCAGAUCCUCUCCACCAUCGCGCCCCUCGCCGACAAGCGCCGUCGCAACCACCUGCCCGCCGCCGCCGGCGCCUUCGCCCCGGGCUUCCACGCCGAGAGGCCGCGGGAAUGCUCAGUGUGGCAGGACGACGAAGACUACGGCCAUCGCCGCGAUCACCUGCACGGAGGGAACGGCAGCAAUGCCAAGGGCGCCGUCUUGUCUGGAGAGGUCACGGUUAACGUCGGGAUGCCAGUGACGAUGAUGACGACGAUGGGGCGGAGCUGGCGGUCGGCGGAGCAGGAGGAGGUGGACCUGACGGAGCCGCGGCUGGAGACGUUCACGGAGCCGACGACGACAGCCAGCCCCUUCAGGUGA
rnacentral:rRNA from 1 species